GACGAACGCUGGCGGCGUGCCUAAUACAUGCAAGUUGAGCGCUGAAGGUUGGUACUUGUACCAACUGGAUGAGCAGCGAACGGGUGAGUAACGCGUGGGGAAUCUGCCUUUGAGCGGGGGACAACAUUUGGAAACGAAUGCUAAUACCGCAUAAAAACUUUAAACACAAGUUUUAAGUUUGAAAGAUGCAAUUGCAUCACUCAAAGAUGAUCCCGCGUUGUAUUAGCUAGUUGGUGAGGUAAAGGCUCACCAAGGCGAUGAUACAUAGCCGACCUGAGAGGGUGAUCGGCCACAAUGGGACUGAGACACGGCCCAAACUCCUACGGGAGGCAGCAGUAGGGAAUCUUCGGCAAUGGACGAAAGGCUGAACGAGCAACGCCGCGUGAGUGAAGAAGGUUUUCGGAUCGUAAAACUCUGUUGGUAGAGAAGAACGUUGGUGAGAGUGGAAAGCUCAUCAAGUGACGGUAACUACCCAGAAAGGGACGGCUAACUACGUG
rnacentral:rRNA from 1 species